AAUGAACGCUGGCGGCAUGCCUUACACAUGCAAGUCGAACGGCAGCAUGACCUAGCUUGCUAGGUUGAUGGCGAGUGGCGAACGGGUGAGUAAUGCAUCGGAACGUGCCUUUUAGUGGGGGAUAACGUAGCGAAAGUUACGCUAAUACCGCAUAUUCUCUGAGGAGGAAAGCAGGGGACCUUCGGGCCUUGCGCUAGAAGAGCGGCCGAUGUCGGAAUAGCUAGUUGGUGAGGUAAAGGCUCACCAAGGCAACGAUCCGUAGCGGGUCUGAGAGGAUGAUCCGCCACACUGGGACUGAGACAAGGCCCAGACUCCUACGGGAGGCAGCAGUGGGGAAUUUUGGACAAUGGGCGCAAGCCUGAUCCAGCCAUGCCGCGUGAGUGAAGAAGGCCUUCGGGUUGUAAAGCUCUUUCGGCUGGGAAGAAAUCGCACCCUCUAAUACAGGGUGUGGAUGACGGUACCAGCAUAAGAAGCACCGGCUAACUACGUG
rnacentral:rRNA from 1 species